rnacentral:rRNA from 1 species
UACGGAGGGUGCAAGCGUUGUUCGGAAUCACUGGGCGUAAAGGGCGUGUAGGCGGUCCGCUAAGUCUGAUGUGAAAGCCCGAGGCUUACCCUCGGAAGUGCAUUGGAGACUGGCGGACUGGAGUCCCGGAGAGGAGGGUGGAAUUCCUGGUGUAGCGGUGAAAUGCGUAGAUAUCAGGAGGAACACCGGUGGCGAAGGCGGCCCUCUGGACGGUGACUGACGCUGAGACGCGAAAGCGUGGGGAGCGAACAGG